rnacentral:rRNA from 1 species
UACGAAGGGGGGCUAGCGUUGCUCGGAAUCACUGGGCGUAAAGCGCACGUAGGCGGAUUGCUAAGUCAGGGGUGAAAUCCUGGAGCUCAACUCCAGAACUGCCUUUGAUACUGGCGUCUCGAGUUCCGGGAGAGGUGAGUGGAACUGCGAGUGUAGAGGUGAAAUUCGUAGAUAUUCGCAAGAACACCAGUGGCGAAGGCGGCUCACUGGCCCGGUACUGACGCUGAGGUGCGAAAGCGUGGGGAGCAAACAGG